UACAGAGGUCUCAAGCGUUGUUCGGAUUCAUUGGGCGUAAAGGGUGCGUAGGCGGCGCGGUAAGUCGGGUGUGAAAUCUUGGAGCUUAACUCCGAAACUGCAUUCGAUACUGCCGUGCUUGAGGACUGGAGAGGAGACUGGAAUUUACGGUGUAGCGGUGAAAUGCGUAGAUAUCGUAAGGAAGACCAGUGGCGAAGGCGGGUCUCUGGGCAGUUCCUGACGCUGAGGCACGAAGGUCAGGGGAGCAAACGGG
rnacentral:rRNA from 1 species